rnacentral:rRNA from 1 species
AUACGGAGGGUGCGAGCGUUAAUCGGAAUUACUGGGCGUAAAGCGUGCGCAGGCGGUUUGUUAAGUCAGAUGUGAAAGCCCCGGGCUCAACCUGGGAACUGCAUUUGAAACUGGCAAACUAGAGUGUGGUAGAGGGAAGUGGAAUUCCUCAUGUAGCGGUGAAAUGCGUAGAUAUGAGGAGGAACACCAGUGGCGAAGGCGACUUCCUGGACCAACUCUGACGCUGAUGUACGAAAGCGUGGGUAGCAAACAGGAUUAGAUACCCUAGUAGUCC